rnacentral:rRNA from 1 species
UGAGGAAUAUUGGUCAAUGGACGAGAGUCUGAACCAGCCAAGUAGCGUGCAGGAUGACGGCCCUAUGGGUUGUAAACUGCUUUUGUUUGGGAAUAAUCGACAUUACGUGUAAUGUUUUGCAUGUACCAUUCGAAUAAGGACCGGCUAAUUCCGUGCCAGCAGCCGCGGUAAUACGGAAGGUUCGGGCGUUAUCCGGAUUUAUUGGGUUUAAAGGGAGCGUAGGCCGUUUGGUAAGCGUGUUGUGAAAUGUAGGAGCUCAACUUCUAGAUUGCAGCGCGAACUGUCAGACUUGAGUGCGCACAACGUAGGCGGAAUUCAUGGUGUAGCGGUGAAAUGCUUAGAUAUCAUGAAGAACUCCGAUUGCGAAGGCAGCUUACGGGAGCGCAACUGACGCUGAAGCUCGAAGGUGCGGGUAUCGAACAGG